rnacentral:rRNA from 1 species
AGUGCGUCUUAAGCAUGCAAGUCAAACGGGAUGUAGCAAUACAUUCAGUGGCGAACGGGUGAGUAACGCGUGGAUGAUCUACCUACGAGAUGGGGAUAACUAUUAGAAAUAGUAGCUAAUACCGAAUAAAGUCAAUCAAUUUGUUAAUUGAUGAAAGGAAGCCUUUAAAGCUUCGCUUGUAGAUGAGUCUGCGUCUUAUUAGCUAGUUGGURGGGUAAAUGCCUACCAAGGCGAUGAUAAGUAACCGGCCUGAGAGGGUGAACGGUCACACUGGAACUGAGAUACGGUCCAGACUCCUACGGGAGGCAGCAGCUAAGAAUCUUCCGCAAUGGGCGAAAGCCUGACGGAGCGACACUGCGUGAAUGAAGAAGGUCGAAAGAUUGUAAAAUUCUUUUAUAAAUGAGGAAUAAGCUUUGUAGGAAAUGACGAAGUGAUGACGUUAAUUUAUGAAUAAGCCCCGGCUAAUUACGUGCCAGCAGCCGCGGUAAUACGUAAGGGGCGAGCGUUGUUCGGGAUUAUUGGGCGUAAAGGGUGAGUAGGCGGAUAUAUAAGUCUAUGCAUAAAAUACCACAGCUCAACUGUGGAACUAUGUUGGAAACUAUAUGUCUAGAGUCUGAUAGAGGAAGUUAGAAUUUCUGG